UACGUAUGGAGCAAGCGUUAUCCGGAUUUACUGGGUGUAAAGGGAGCGUAGGCGGCAUACCAAGCCUGAUGCGAAAACCCGGGGCCCAACCCCGGGAGUGCAUUGGGAACUGGCAAGCUAGAGUGUCGGAGAGGCAGGCGGAAUUCCUAGUGUAGCGGUGAAAUGCGUAGAUAUUAGGAGGAACACCAGUGGCGAAGGCGGCCUGCUGGACGAUGACUGACGCUGAGGCUCGAAAGCGUGGGGAGCAAACAGG
rnacentral:rRNA from 1 species